UCUCCCGACGUCAGCAGGUCCUUACUGAGAAAAGAAACUAGCUGCUGCCCUAGAGGUGAGCGCCGGGUGGGCUAUGUCUGGUGCGAUUUAUGCCAUCCACACACUGGUGACACGUGAUCAAAUUUGGCUCCUCCCUCUGGGAUAACCGGGGAACUCCCGGCUCUCGCCCUUGUGCAGUUGGAGACAGAAGGCAUCAGAAAGUGAGCGUAAAAAUGUCGCAUCCAAGCAGUAUGUCGCCAAGUCCUAGCACGACUAUGAAACCAGGCACUCCCAAAUCUAGAAAAGCGAAGGGGCUGAAGGACAUUCGUAUAGAUGAGGAGGUGAAGAUUGCCGUUAAUAUUGCACUGGACAGAUUUCGGUAUAGUGACCAAAAAGAGAUGGAAUUUCCUUCAUCUCUGACCAGCACUGAGAGAGCCUUUAUCCAUCGUCUUGCCCAGUCACUUGGACUAAUAUCGAAGAGCAAAGGAAAAGGCAUUAGUAGAUAUUUAACAAUAAGGAAGAAGGAUGGCUCUGAGGCCUGCAGCGCUCGUAUGUCCUGCUGCCUGAUACAGAACACGAGGCAUGCCAUGAGGAGCCUCAUUCAGCGCUUCCCUUUGACCAAUAAGGAAAGAACUGAACUGCUUCCAAAAACAGAGCGGGGAAACGUGUCUGCAAUGGAAGCUGAGAGCCGUGAGAUGAGCAAAACCAGUGGACGACUAAACAAUGGCAUCUCCCAAGUUCCAGUGAAGAGAGGGGAAUCGGAGUUUGACUCUUUUCGUCAGUCGUUACCUGUAUUUGAAAAGCGAGAGGAAAUUGUUCAGGUUAUUAAAGAUAAUAAAGUUGUUCUGAUUGUUGGAGAAACGGGCUCAGGAAAAACCACCCAGAUUCCCCAGUUUCUUCUUGAUGACUGCUACAAAAAUGGAAUGGCUUGUCGAAUCUUCUGCACUCAGCCGAGGCGAUUGGCUGCAAUUGCUGUUGCUGAAAGGGUUGCUUCUGAAAGGGGAGAGAAAAUUGGUCAAACGGUCGGUUACCAGAUUCGCCUAGAGAGCCGGGUUUCUCCAAAGACACUCCUUACCUUUUGCACUAAUGGAGUCCUCUUGCGGACUCUAAUGGCUGGAGAUGCUGCACUUUCAACUGUAACUCACGUCAUUGUGGACGAAGUUCAUGAACGGGAUCGGUUCAGUGACUUCCUAGUAACUAAACUCCGAGAUUUGAUACAGAAACUUCCAACUUUGAAGCUGAUUCUCUCCAGUGCCGCACUUGACGUAACCUUGUUUCUGAAGUACUUUGGAGGGUGUCCCAUCUUGUACAUACAAGGACGACCUUUUGAAGUAAAAGAAAUGUUUUUAGAAGAUAUUUUAAGAACCACGGGCUACACAAAUAAGGAUAUGCUGAAAUACAAGAAAGAGAAGCAGUGUGAGGACAAGCAAAAGACAACCCUGUCUGAAUGGCAUUCAGCAAAAGAGAACAGCCUAAAGAGUAACACCCAAAGACAAAGAAGCGUCACCAACAUCACUGAGGACUAUGAUUUGCUGGAUGAUGGAGGGGACACUGUUUUCAGUCAAUUGACUGAGAAAGAUGUGAAUUGUCUGGAGCCAUGGCUGAUGAAGGAAAUGGACUCUUGUCUUUCUGAUAUUUGGCUUCACCGAGAUAUAGAUGCGUUUGCUCAACUUUUUCAAUUGAUACUGACCGAGAAUGUUAGUGUUGACUACAGACACAGUGAAACUAGUGCAUCUCCAUUAAUGGUGGCUGCUGGACGAGGCUUUUUAAGCCAGGUGGAGCAACUUAUUGGCAUGGGAGCCAACAUCCACGGCAAAGCUUCAAAUGGAUGGACAGCUCUGGACUGGGCAAGACAUUUCGGACAGACUGAAGUUGUUGACCUCUUGGAAUCAUACAGUGCUUCCUUGGAUCCUGGCAGUCUAGAUGAAAGCUCCCUGGUGCAGGCUGAAAGCAGCAGCUUGAGCGUGGAGGAACAAGAGCUUCUUAAAGCCUACCACUACAGUUUUGAUGAUGAAAAAGUGGACCUUGACCUGAUAAUGCAUAUUCUUAAUAAUAUCUGCCAAAAUUCAGACACAGGGGCCAUACUAAUAUUUCUCCCAGGAUAUGAUGAAAUAGUAGGGUUAAGAGAUCGCAUCUUGCAUGAUGACAAGAGAUUUGCUGAAAAUUCUCAAAGAUAUCAAAUCUUCAUGCUGCACUCAAACAUGCAAACUGCUGACCAGAGGAAGGUCUUAAAGACUCCACCAGCUGGUAUUCGCAAAAUUAUACUUUCAACAAAUAUAGCAGAGACCAGUAUCACAGUAAAUGAUGUGGUGUUUGUGAUAGACUCUGGCAAAGUGAAAGAGAAAUCUUAUGAUGCUCUGAACCAUGUGACGAUGCUUAAAAUGGUUUGGAUUUCUAAAGCCAGUGCCAUUCAGAGGAAAGGAAGGGCUGGUCGCUGCCGUCCUGGUGUAUGUUUCCGCCUGUUCAGCAGACUUCGUUUUCAGAAUAUGUUGGAGUUCCAGACUCCUGAACUACUGCGAAUGCCUCUGCAUGAGCUUUGCUUGCAUACAAAAUUGUUGGCGCCAAUAAACUCUCCGAUUGCUGAUUUCUUAAUGAAAGCUCCAGAGCCACCACCAGCUUUAAUUGUUCGCAACGCCGUACAGAUGCUGAAGACUAUUGACGCCAUGGACACUUGGGAAGAUCUGACUGAACUUGGUUAUCACUUAGCUGAUUUACCAGUGGAACCACACCUUGGCAAAAUGGUGCUGUGUGCAGUUGUUCUGAAGUGCUUGGACCCUAUACUUACUAUAGCUUGCACUUUAGCAUAUCGUGAUCCAUUUGUCUUGCCAACUCAGGCUUCCCAAAAACGUGCAGCCAUGCUGUGCAGGAAGCGGUUUACAGCAGGGACAUACAGCGAUCAUAUGGCUCUGCUCAGGGCUUUUCAGGCUUGGCAGAAGGCUCGAAGUGAUGGAUGGGAAAGAGCCUUCUGUGAGAAGAAUUUUCUGUCUCAGGCUACAAUGGAAAUUAUUAUUGGCAUGAGAACUCAGCUUCUUGGGCAGCUCAGGGCUUCAGGGUUCGUUAGGGCUCGUGGAGCUGGGGACAUAAGAGAUGUGAAUGCAAACUCCGAGAACUGGGCUGUAGUAAAAGCUGCCCUUGUUGCGGGCAUGUAUCCAAACCUCAUCCAUGUAGACAGAGAAAAUAUGCAGCUCACCAGCCAUAAGGAAAAGCGAGUGCGCUUGCACCCUACUUCAGUUUUAAGCCAACCACAGUAUAAAAAGAUCCCACCUGAGAAUGGGCAGGCUGCCUCUAUCCAAGUUUUGCCUACAGACUGGCUGAUGUACGAUGAGAUGACCCGAGCUCACAGAAUUGCUAAUAUUAGAUGCUGCACACUGGUUACACCUGUCACUAUUGCAGUCUUCUCAGGACCUGCCAGGCUUCCCAGUAAUGCUUUGCAAGAGCCAUCUUCGUGUCGAGCCACAUUGGAUGGUAAUGAGAGCAGUGACAGUGAGAUGGAAGACAGAACCACGUCUAUGUUGGCAACAUUAAAGUUGGAUGAGUGGUUACAUUUUAAGCUUGAUCUGGAGUCUGCUAAUUUGUUGCUACAACUGAGGCAAAAAUGGUACAGUUUAUUUCUAAGACGGAUGAAGGCACCCUCAAAACCUUGGUCUCAGGUGGAUGAGGCCACCAUCCGGGCGGUCAUAACUGUGUUAACUGCUGAAGAGCAGUCAGCAGGUUUACAGCAGCCUUCUGGAAUUGGGCAGAGACCAAGACCAAUGUCUUCUGAAGAACUUCCAAUAUCUUCUUCUUGGAAGACCAAUCAAAGUCGUAAGAGUUCAGCAGAAACAGAUUUCUCUGAUGACUUAAGCAAUUUAGACAGAACUAUAAAAUCUCCAUCCUUCACAUUUUCUCAACAACUGAAACAUAAAGAGAGGGUUUUACAACAUCCAAAACGACUUGAGGAGAAAACAGAACAGUUGUCUGCAAGAUAUCCUGAAAGCAGUAGCUACUCUAGCCCAUGUGGAAGCCCAUCUCCUCCUGCCUCUAUCAAGACCCCUAAAUCUUCAUCACCCCGACCAAAUCUGCCUAUGAGGUAUUUUAUAAUGAAGAGCAGCAACCUAAGAAACCUUGACAUUUCCCAGCAAAAAGGAAUAUGGUCCACCACCCCAAGUAACGAGCGCAAACUGAACAGGGCAUUCUGGGAGAGCAGCUGCGUUUAUCUGGUGUUUUCUGUUCAAGGAUCUGGUCAUUUUCAGGGCUUCGCGAGAAUGUGUUCAGAGAUUGGGCUGGAGAAGAGUCAGGAUUGGGGAUCCACUAGUCUUGGGGGAGUGUUUAAGGUGGAAUGGAUUCGGAAGGAAAGCCUGCCUUUUCAGCAAGCACACCAUUUACUGAACCCAUGGAAUGACAACAAGAAAGUUCAAAUAAGUCGUGAUGGACAGGAACUGGAGCCUCAGGUUGGGGAACAGCUGUUGCUGCUAUGGGACAAAGUUCUUCUGGGAGAUAGAAGUGUGUCCCACUGAUAGGAGCCUUAUUCCACUUGCCAUUUUAUAUCCUAAUGAUCAUCUUCCAUGUCCCAUGGCAUUGAUAGGUCUGUGAAAUCAAUAGGUUGUGAUAUCCAGAAAUGGCUGUGAAUAUUUGGAAUGACACUACCUUUAGAUAAGAUAAUCUCUUUGUGGUUUCCGUUACUCGCACGUAAUUGUUUACAAGCGGGUCGUUUAUGAAAAGCUGACGUCAGAAGAAUGCCCUAGAUCUGGAUGGGCAGUCCAUGAGUUUCAGCAGUGGUUGGAUUAUGGAAGCUUGCCCAUCCAUUGUUUCUGAACACAAUACACUGUAACGUCCCUUACUUUUUUUUAAAAGAAAAUUGCACUGUUGUAAAUGUUCUGGGAAUUUUGGUUUUAUUCAACCUUGAUUUAAAAUGUACACAAUUAGUGUUUCAUUACACUAUACAUGUUAACAUAUUUUAGGUAGGUGAUCUUUCAGUAUAGAAGACAAAUUUUACUGAAAUUAGGACCAUAGUCUACGUAUACAUGUUUAUCACUGAUGUAGAGGGUACACCUUUUAAGUUGUAGAUGUAAUGUGAAAAAGCCUUGUUUUAAAAGAGAAUAUAGGAGAUUAUCUUGGAAUUUCUCUUGCCACAUUUCAAGUAAAUGCAUUGUGGGAGACCCUUUGUGGAUAGGCAUUCCUGUUGUGCAGCCUGUCGGCAUUAUAAACAGUGGGUCACACCAUAACACUGAAAACUGCAGUGACCCAUGCUUAGGUGCUCUGUUCUUCAGGAAAUUAUAAAUGUGGAUACAGGAAGAGAUCUAAAUGUUCUGCAAGGUUUUGAAGGGUUUUCUGAGACCUCUAAAAUUUAGGUAAAGGCAAGACAUGUUCUGAAAUAAAUGAAGCCUUACUUAUCUGUCCAUUCUCUCUCCAUUGUAGCUGUGCCAGUCUGGUGUUUCUCAUUGGGUUUUGUUUGUGGUGCUGCAGUAGUGAUGUCCCACUACUACCCUACAUGAUCACUGCAGCCAGUCACUUCUUUUAGCAGUUCCUUUGGUGGUAGGGCAUGAUAUCACUGUAGAGAGACGAGCAAGGCUGACAUAUCUGACUAAGCCUUGUGACUGCUGAUGUCAGUGAUUGGCUGCAGCGACCACGUAGGGGAGUUAGGGACAUCAGGCGAGGCAGGGAAUGGACAGGUUGUAAGGCAUCUUAACUAUUUUACAACGUCCUGGUUGCUUUCUUAUUUUCUAAACUUUUCCUGCCUUCACCCACACACAUGUGGGUCUCAGAGAACCCCUUAAACAGGGUUCCUUUAGCAUUAAUAUUUGGACCAUUGCUGGCAUAAGGGACAAGAUAUUGCCCGCCUACUGGAUCCAUUUGGAGGGGCAUUUGUACUCCUUGUCAUAGAGUUUAUUAGUGGAUUAUAGUGUCCACGUGUGAAUGAGUUAUUAAUCAGACAAAUUAGUCUAAAUUGAUUUUGAUGUUUAAUUGUUGAGAAAUACAACUUCUAUGUAUUUUAGAACACUAAAGCAAGAAAAUAUUAAAGCAAAGUUUUGUCUACUUAUAUGAAUGUAUAAUAUACACAUAUGGCUUUUUCUUCUGCUUGUUAUGUUGACAAAUAUAUCAUAAAUUUAAGACCCAGGAUCCAAUUUUUCCAAGGUUUUAAUACUGAUGACCAAUCAUCUAGAUAGAUCAUCAGUAGCUCAUUGGUGGGGGACUGACAACUUGGACACGCACAGAUCAGCUGUUUGAGAAGGCACCUGCGCUUCUGUGAGCACCGCAGCCUUCUCCAUGCUUACCAAGCACAGCGCCGUACAUAGUAUAGGGGGCUAUGCUAUCGCGCUCAGCUCUAUUCACUUCUAUGGAGCUGAGCUGCAACUAGGCCAUGUGACCGAUGAACAUGUUGUCACUGGCCUAGGAAAAGCUGAAAGAAGGCCGCAGCACUACUGCAAGCGCUGAAGCUUUCACAAACAGAUGAUCAGCGGGGGUCACCGAGAAUAGGUCAUCAGUAUUAAAAUCUCAGAAAACCCUUUUAAAUUAAAACUCUGGCUACAAGAAUAAAUGUGCUAAAAUACAGAAGGAAGUGAUGCACUCCAUUUUUCUUCCCUGCCACUUUCAAUGCUGUGCCCUAGUCAUCACCAAAGAUGUCAUCUUCCAGGCUGCAGGGUGACUUUCCAUAGACGCCAUGUCACUGUCCUCAGCAAUGUAUGGCAUGUGAGUGCUCAGGCCAGCGAUUUGCUGCAGCAAUGACAUGGUGUGUGCAGAAUGUCACUGAUGCACCCAAGAAAACAAACACUGGUAGGAGGACGGAACCACAGUGCAGGAAGUGGUAGUGGAGAAAAGCGGUGAGUAUGACUUCCUUAGUUGUAUCAGCACGUUUGUUUCUCACUCCCAGUACCGCCCCCCGAUCAGCUGUUUGAGGGGGGAGCUUACCAAGCACAGCUUCAUCCAUUGUAUAGUGACUGUGCGUGUUAUUGUAGCUCAGUCCCAUUCGCUUUAAUGGGGCUGACCUGCAUCGAGGCCAUGUGACUGAUGAACGUGAAACCAUAUGGCAUAGGAAGAGGCCUAAGAGCUUAUGAAGUGCCGCGGCCUCUUCGUACAGCUGAUCGGCAGGGGUCCCAGGAAUUGGAACCUGCCGAUCUCGUAUUGAUGAUCUGUCUUAAGGAUAGGUCACAUCCAUAUGUAAAUCUCUGAGAAAUCCUUUAAAGGGAACCUGUCACCUCAAAAAUGCAUCUA